AACCCAGGUGUGGUGGAAAAUGGGCAAGGGCCGGGCCGUCACCCCCAAGGUGGCGCGCUGUAUCUUGAUCCGGAUACGGUGGCAAGUGAGCGAGGAUCGGGUCGUCGCAUCCUUAGUGGCGCGCUACAUCGGCGCCCGGAUGUAGUGGAAAAUGGGCAAGGGUCUUCGCAUUUGACUCGACGAGUGCGAAGGGUAAGGAAGCUAGCCGAGCCUAGGAGGAUUCGCUUAGGUAGCUGGAACGUAGGGUCUCUGACAGCGAAGCUUCGGGAGCUAGUUGAUGCAGUGGUGAGGAGAGGUGUUGAUAUCCUUUGCGUCCAAGAAACCAAAUGGAGAGGACAGAAGGUGAAGGAGGUGGAGGAUACCGGCUUCAAGCUGUGGUACACAGGGACGGCUGCAAACAGAAAUGGCGUAGGCAUCUUGAUCAACAAGAGCCUCAAGUAUGGAGUGGUAGACGUCAAGAGACGUGGGGACCGGAUUAUCCUGGUCAAGCUGGUAGUUGAGGACUUGGUUCUCAAUGUUAUCAGCGUGUAUGCCCCACAAGUAGGCCACAAUGAGAACACCAAGAGGGAGUUCUGGGAAGGCCUGGAAGACAUGGUUAGGAGUGUACAGAUUGGUGAGAAGCUCUUCAUAGGA
rnacentral:rRNA from 1 species